AGCAGCCGCGGUAAUUCCAGCUCCAAUAGCGUAUAUUAAAGUUGUUGCAGUUAAAAAGCUCGUAGUUGAAUUUCGGGGUCAGUAGGCUGGUCGUGCCACAGGUAUGUACUGGUCUCACUGAUUCCUCCUUCCUGAUGAACCGUAAUGCCAUUAAUUUGGUGUUGCGGGGAAUCUGGACUGUUACUUUAGAAAAAUUAGAGUGUUUAAAGCAGGCUAACGCUUGAAUACAUUAGCAUGGAAUAAUGAAAUAGGACGAUCGAUCCUAUUUUGUUGGUUUCUAGGAUUGACGUAAUGAUUAAUAGGGAUAGUUGGGGGCAUUAGUAUUCAAUUGUCAGAGGUGAAAUUCUUGGAUUUAUUGAAGACUAACUACUGCGAAAGCAUUUGCCAAGGAUGUUUUCAUUAAUCAAGAACGAAAGUUAGGGGAUCGAAGACGAUCAGAUACCGUCGUAGUCUUAACCAUAAACUAUGCCGACUAGGGAUCGGAUGAUGUUAAUUUUUUAAUGACUCAUUCGGUCCG
rnacentral:misc_RNA from 1 species